AGAGUUUGAUCAUGGCUCAGAUUGAACGCUGGCGGCAGGCCUAACACAUGCAAGUCGAGCGGAUGAGUGGAGCUUGCUCCAUGAUUCAGCGGCGGACGGGUGAGUAAUGCCUAGGAAUCUGCCUGGUAGUGGGGGACAACGUUUCGAAAGGAACGCUAAUACCGCAUACGUCCUACGGGAGAAAGCAGGGGACCUUCGGGCCUUGCGCUAUCAGAUGAGCCUAGGUCGGAUUAGCUAGUUGGUGAGGUAAAGGCUCACCAAGGCGACGAUCCGUAACUGGUCUGAGAGGAUGAUCAGUCACACUGGAACUGAGACACGGUCCAGACUCCUACGGGAGGCAGCAGUGGGGAAUAUUGGACAAUGGGCGAAAGCCUGAUCCAGCCAUGCCGCGUGUGUGAAGAAGGUCUUCGGAUUGUAAAGCACUUUAAGUUGGGAGGAAGGGCAGUAAGCUAAUACCUUGCUGUUUUGACGUUACCGACAGAAUAAGCACCGGCUAACUUCGUGCCAGCAGCCGCGGUAAUACGAAGGGUGCAAGCGUUAAUCGGAAUUACUGGGCGUAAAGCGCGCGUAGGUGGUUCAGCAAGUUGGAUGUGAAAGCCCCGGGCUCAACCUGGGAACUGCAUCCAAAACUACUGAGCUAGAGUACGGUAGAGGGUGGUGGAAUUUCCUGUGUAGCGGUGAAAUGCGUAGAUAUAGGAAGGAACACCAGUGGCGAAGGCGACCACCUGGACUGAUACUGACACUGAGGUGCGAAAGCGUGGGGAGCAAACAGGAUUAGAUACCCCGGUAGUCC
rnacentral:rRNA from 1 species